UCAAGAAAAUAAAAUAGGAGACAAAAGGAAAGAUAAGAACCUAGUCCACAAAGCAACCGAAAAUGACGAUUUCCCGGGAGAGAAUAUUUCUUUAAUGAAGAAGAGGUUCCAACAAAUGCAGAAGCCUAGAUCAUUUGAGAAUCCUCAAAAGACGACGAACAAAGACAUCAGAGAACGUUAUACGACAAAUGCAGAAGCCUAGAUCAUAUCAUCAAAUUUUAUUCCUUGUGGACUCUUGAAUACAAAAGGAACAACCUAGAAAAGUAAAAAGAGAUCAGGAACAAUCAACACAUUCCUUCAAAUCAUAUACUAAUCAAUCAAGAGGUUAUUUAUCUAUCAAAUAAGCUUUUGCGGCAAUGGGAAAUUCAUCUGGGGAAGAAUCUGAUGAGGCGGGACUUGAAAACCAAUUCUUACUUGCAAUGGAAGAAACUGUGUGAGUCCAAAGAAACAAUCAUGACACAAAUGACUGGAAUAGGCUCAAAAAAAGAUGAAGAUGACUAGAUGUCCAAGAACUGGACAGGGGCAAGUGUUUCUGCUGGAGGUAUACAACAGGUCAUAGAAAACAUCAAGAAGAAGCAUUGGAGGAAAUUUUAGAAGGAAGUUAUAGCAGCUUGCUAUGGAGUUGUGCUUUAUCAUACUUAGCGUGCUAGAAAUUGGAAGAAAUUUAGAAAUAAGAAUGUAGAUAUUAUAGAGGCUAAAACUAAGAGAGCACAGAAUUGUAGAAGUUUAUUAGAGAACUAGAGCUGUAAUUAGUUGUUUGUUUUGUUGGAGACCUCAUUUCUACCAAUAGAAAUAAGGUGUUCUUUAAUUGUAAUUGUGUUUUUUAUGGUUA